rnacentral:miRNA from 1 species
AUUUAGCGAGCUGAGUGGGGAGGAGAGAGGGACAGAGAGCCUGCUUGCUUUAAAGGAGCCAACCGGACAGGAGCCGCUUACACUUGUGUAAGCGACUCCUCUCCUCUCCCACUUUGCUCCUUUAAAGCAAGCAGGCUCUCUGUCCCUCUCUCCUCCCCACUCAGCGGCUCUUCUC